GGCUCACCUGUUGUGUGAUUAAGUCAUGAGUUGCUGCUUGUUGUCUUUGGGACCACGCCAAGCAGCAUUUGUUCAAGGAAAGAACAAGGCUCUGUGUGCUGUGUGACUGUAUCAAUAGUCUCGGGCAAACAGAUUCCAGCAGGAGAAAAGAAUGGGAAGUGGGCGCUGGGGACAAUGUGGCAGCUGUGUUGAAAGUUAUCUCAGUCAAGAACGGGUUGGUGGUAAGACACAAAAGCCUCCUUAGCAGGAGUAGAAGUGGGACCUGUUGGUAGUGUCGGCGGACUCUAGGGAAACACUGAAGGAAGAUGAGACUGACAUCAUGGGAACUGGAAGCCUCUCCAGGAGCUCCUCACUCUCUGACCCUGCUCUCUCACCUCAUGGAGCCCUUCGGUGUGAAGUGCACGGAACUAUGAGGGUGUUCGUCCCAUCAGACCACAGCAAAGUGACCCAACUUCUGGUGGCAUCAGAUUCCAUCCACGAAAGCAGAGCCAAUUAAGUCAGAGCCCUUUAACCGCCCUUCCUAAUUCAGGACGCUGUUCUCAUGACAAAGGGUUGGCAAACUGCAGUUCAGAGUGGGCCAGUCCUGUCAUAAACUGAGAGUGACUUUAACGUCUCUCAAUGGUUAAAAAUAAAAAGAAAUAACCAAGAACGAAGUCUCAUUUGGAAUUCAUGAAAAUGAUCUGACUUCAAUUUUCAGUGUCCACAAAUAAAGUUUUAUUGGAACACCA